rnacentral:RNase_P_RNA from 1 species
GGCAAAUGCUGCAUAAAUUAGUUAUGUAGAGGAAAGUCCAUGCUCGCACAGGCUGUGAUGCUUGUAGUGUUUGUGUUUAGGGAAAAAAUAACCUAAAGUAGCGUAUGCUAACGGCUUCGAGGAAACCUUAAAUGGUUUUAUUAGAUAUAAAAGUGCCAAAGAGACGAGUUACAAGGGAAACUUUGUAAGUGGAACGUGGUAAACCCCGCAAGCGAGAAACCCAAAUUAUGGUAGGGGAGCUUAAAGUAGAGAAACGAAUUUACUUUAGGUGCAGAAAUGUAAGAUAAAUAUUUGCCUCUUCUUGUGAAGAACAAAACAUGGCUUAUU